rnacentral:rRNA from 1 species
UGAACGCUGGCGGUAUGCCUAACACAUGCAAGUCGUACGAGAGUUUUUAACUCAAGUGGCGGACGGGUGAGUAACACGUGAGAAUUUACCUUUAGGAGGGGGACAACAGUUGGAAACGAUUGCUAAUACCCCAUAUGCUUUCGAGUGAAAUAGAUUUAUCUGCCUAAAGAAAAGCUCGCGGCUGAUUAGCUUGUUGGUAAGGUAAUGGCUUACCAAGGCGACGAUCAGUAUCUGGUUUGAGAGGACGAUCAGACACACUGGAACUGAGACACGGUCCAGACUCCUACGGGAGGCAGCAGUGGGGAAUUUUCCGCAAUGGGCGAAAGCCUGACGGAGCAAUACCGCGUGAGGGAAGACGGCCUAUGGGUUGUAAACCUCUUUUUUCAGGGAGGAAUAAAUGACGUGUACCUGAAGAAUAAGCAUCGGCUAACUCC